rnacentral:lncRNA from 1 species
AGUAAAAAUUUAAAAUGUGUGUAUAUACAUAGAAUUAGUUAUCUGAGAAAUUUUGUUAAUGAUAUUUAAUUCAAAUGUCUGCUUCUACAGUGUUUUAUGUAAGAAAAACGUUUCUGCAGCAAAUCUGUUUCAUAGAAGAUACAUAUUUUCCACUCUUGCAGCUCUCUUUUGCCGCGUCAUCAUUCGUUACACCACUAACGCUGAUUUUCUUCUUGUAUAUGUGCAUGCUGGCACGCCUAUGGAAGAGCACGCCCGGCUGUAAGCCAUCGGCAGAAUCAAGAUGAAAAGUUAUUGCGGAGACGGUGACAUCUCACAAGGAGGAAAGUGUUAGAGGAAUAAAUCAAUUGGUCAAGUGACCCGAAUAAAUACACAAGAAAUGGCUAAUAAAGUGUGAAAAAUUGGCAAAAAUUACGAAAAGGUAAAGCACGGAGAAAUUUCCAGCUGAAAAAAGGCUCGCCUUAGAUUUGCAAUAAGUAUAAUAUAUCGGCUAUGGAAGCGAAAAUUAAAUACGCAUGUACCAUGCAUAGAAUAUGUAACAUCAAAACCAAACUUCUUCAGGAAGUAAAAAGACCCAAUCGCAGUCAUGCCACAGAUGUUUUUAGACUGCUCCAGUAUCAUGUAUAAUAGCACUGAAUAAUGCAAAUCAAUUUAGGGCAUUGUGACAACAUCGUAUGUCAAGGUCAACCAAGGUCACCAACGUGAAUAGUUGAAGUCAUUCAUUCUUUCCAGCCAACUGAAGACUGAUUUGACUCGUGAUACUGAUACGACUGAUAAAACUUGAUAAAAACUUAUUAAAUGUGAAAAUAAUAUAUAGCAGCUUUUAUUACUAUUAUGUUUAUAGCCAUUGAGAAAUUAGGAUUAUUUUUUAAGCUUAGUAUUAACUAAGUUCGGUUUAUAUUAUCAUAUCAAAAUCAAUCUGUACUACAAAUUCAGAGGAGUUCUUCACCGACAAACAGCUACUAGGACUUAAGGAAUGUUUCCAGAACCCUCGGCGUUAUUCCAGCACCGCCAAAGCAGCCUCGUGUUUUAUAUUUGGACGAUGCUACAGCGAAUUGAAAACCGUUAUAUUCAUUAUUUUUUAAAGAAAUUUAUUUCAGUUGAUUUCAGUUGAACGCACAAGUUACUAGAACUGAAAAUUUAGCAAGCCAAUGCUGCACACAUAUACUUUUUACUCACGUCUGUCCAAUGUAGAGUAAUUCCCAACACUUUCAUUUUAUUUAUCUUAUUCACACGUAUCACUACUCUUUGUUCUAAUAAAUUCUAUGCCUAAAGAGGUUUAUUUUGAGUCCGCCGGAAUCCAAGAGCAUUACAGCUUUCAGGCUUACAAUAUUUAUUACGGAUAUUUUAUAUUUAUACAACUGAAGCAAGCAUAUAAUAAAGCGAAAAGGAAAAAAAAUUAAUAUAAUAUAUGGAAAAAAAUAUUCUAAAGGAUUACUAAAUUCAAUUCACUGUUUAAUAAACACCUUGACGUAAUCCACAUACAUACACGUAUAUUUAAAUGACAUGGCUUCUUAACAGUAGACUUUGACAUUAUAUUAAGUAGCGAAUUACCACACCUCAUAUCGUACUGUACUACAUAUAUAAUUCGGUUUCAUAUAGAAACUAUAAUUCCACAAAACCAAAUCUCAGAUCAAAGCAACAAAAACCAAUUUUGAAUUUGACCACCUGAGGUGUAACUAACUUACGUCUAAUCAAUGUGAGGUAGUAUGCAUUUUCAUAGAUGUUGUUGCUUCGAAGUCAGAUGUGUCAAAUUCGAAAUCACCUGCCAUUAAAAUGCACAAUUGCACACCAACUAUAUUGCACUGCAGUCGUUGACUUAAGAUUUCAUUCAUUUAGUCGUGUAUAAUCAUAUAUUCACCUACGUACUAUAUAUCUCAAAAUACUAAUUUGAGUUCAACAAUAUUUGGUGUGAUUUAUUAACAAUAUCUGUCAAAAUAUGAUGUGCUUGUCACAGAAACUGUGUUUUCAAUCCAAUUUUGGAACUAACGCUGUAGCCUGGUUAGUUAUUAUGAUGAUUGUGAUUCAGACCGAAUUGACUUUCCUAGUUGGUUUACGAUUUAUUGCUGUAGUUAUUAAUUGGCUUUGUUGGAACUGAACAGGUGACUUGAUUGUCUGACACAUGCAACUACUACUGAUUACUAAACUUUUUCUAAAUCAGUAAAUCAUCACCGUCCAAUAUUCCCAUGAAUGCAUUCAGCUUUAAAUUAUACAAAUGAGCAAUGAAAGCGGUACGCAAAUGUUGCUCAUACGCCAGAGCGAGCAAUAUUCAUUGAAAAUCGCAAGUCCCUUAGGACGCACCUUCAUUACAAAUACUUCGAAUUUUCACGUGGAUUAUGCAGACGGAUUUGAUUUUUAAUCAGGCAAUUGAAAAAGGCCUUUCUUGAAAGAAUGAUAGAUUUAAUGUUAAUAAUAAUAAAAGAUUUAAUUAAUAUAUUCCGGAUGUUUGUGGAGAAAAGGGAAUAUUAUUUCAUUUAUGUAAAAUUAUACUCACUAACUAACACCGCGGAAAAAUAAAAGAUCAUAUACGGAUAUGUGUACGAAUGUCCAAUUAAGAGAAUGUUAAAAAUAAAGUACAUAGUACACUCGAGCUUAAAAUUCGAAAACUAUUAAUUAGUUGGUGAGGUUUUUUGUAUGAACUGUUCUAGUGGAUUAUAUUCACCAUAUACAUUUUUGAAAUGAUAAUUUUAUAUGCAAAGAUGGAGUUGCUCGCUUAUUAAACCACUAUUUAUUCUAACAUAAUUCAAUUUCACUGUCAAAUUAAUUGAACUAAAUUUGAUAUUUUAAUAUUUUGGUUAACAAAUUGUGGUCCUAAGCAAAUAUUCCAAAUUUGUUUUAUGAUUCGCAGCUAAAAUAAUUUUCUAAAAUCCCAUGGAGGCAAACAUUCCGCCUGAUACGAAUUGAACAUUAAAGCAAAUCAAUAUUUGAACAACUAUAAAGCACAUGUACAUACCUUGAUAUCAGUCUGUAUGCCCACAAAUAUACAUAUUUACAAAAGGGUACAAAUGCACACCGGAAAAUGUAAUUAGAAAGGUAUUAGAUCUUACUUGUAAAUAGGCAACUGCCUAAGGAUGUGUUUCGCAUGUGCGUCAAUAGAAUUAACAACUUUGUUGUUAGUGACACGAACGUACAUAGGGCUAUUUAACAAAUUUCUCUUUUUCACUUGGAGAGACUAAUAUUCUGAAAAUUUCCGAAAUCAGCAUUUAAAUUGACAAAUUAAAAAUACAUUUCAAAUUAUUUUAUAUUUGUAAAAAAAGUACACACAAAGCACAGAAACGAAGAUUCGUAAAAGUUCACAAACCUGGAUCUACCGUUUCUGUUAAAUUAUUUUCACAACUUUUUUUCUAAAAGUCAGCUGCAAAUAUGGAACAAUUGGCGGAAGCUGUUUGUUCGUUGAUACAGAUUAAACGAGUAAAAAUAAAUAUAUCAAAUGACAAAUGAAUGUACAUAUGUAUAUCCUGCUAAAAUAAAUAUAAAAAUUAUAUUAUAAAGCAUUUUUUUUAUUUUUCUAGUCAAGCAUUGAAGUUUUUGUCUUAUUUACAGAAUACACCUGAAGGAAUAAGUACAUUAGCUGUUUAAAUCUGGGCUAAAAAAACAUACUGCCUCAUAUCGUAGUCAUUUGUGGAUUAUAUGAUACAUAUUCUCUUUGUAUAAGUACAUAUGUAACAAAUAAAACAGGAAUCAGAAGACCUUGCAUAUAGGUUAAAGUGAAAUUGAUUGUGAUAUUUAUAUGAUACUAGUACAAACUUGAUAAGCGUGAAAUGACCCAAAAGUUAAACUUAUUAAAAUAAAAUUGAAAAACUCAA